AAAUAGGUUCACUGUAGUCCUCUUUAAAUAAUAACCUACCUUAGUUCAUUCUAGCUGGUGUUUAGUUUUAAAGUAUUCUAGUUACAUAAAACCCAUAGAUCAAGCCUGUCCAAAUGUACAUGUAAACAAACUCCCAAUGGAGUAUGAACCACAGGAUUCUACAAUUAUUCACUUUCCACCUGCAAUAUCUUUCUCUCUAUGCUGAGGAGUAAGAUGUGGUCCAAGCCUUCAUAAUCCCACACGCUGGGGGCUCCCAGAUCCUCCAGUGGAACCCAGAGCUGUGAUAGUCAAGGGCCCAGAACCCAGGACAUCUGUCCAGUUGCCAGCAGCCACUAGAGCUGAGGCUCUGCGUGAGGCAGCACCCUCUCUGAGCAUCACUCUGUUCUUUGUAAACUAAGCAGAAUGAUCCAACUCCAUUGCAUGGUGGAUGAGCCCAGAAUUUCUUAGCACAGGAGAGACCCUUUUUUGCUGUGGCAGAGGGAGGAACCUCUCUGACCCUGGGAGGUGCAGAGUU
rnacentral:lncRNA from 1 species